GCCUGGGUGGCUCAGGCGGUUGAGCAUCCGACUUCUGCUCAGGUCGUGGUCUCCCGGUUCGUGGGUUCGAGCCCCGCGUCGGGCU
rnacentral:tRNA from 1 species